rnacentral:tRNA from 1 species
GUGGGUAUAGCUCAGUUGGUUAGAGUGCCAGGUUGUGGCACUGGAGGUCGAGGGUUCAAAUCCCUCUACUCACCCCA